rnacentral:tRNA from 1 species
AUCCCGAUAGUGUAUUUAACACACUUCAUUUUCGUUGAAGAGAAGAAAUUCUUUUUCUCGAGAUA